GACCAAAUGUCCGCGCCGGAACCCGUCAUAACUAUCAAUUAUCAGCAUCAAUGAUUUCAUGUGGCAAAAGACCCUCCGCUGCGCUUCAGAAUUCCAAAUGAGGCGGCCAUAAUGAAAUAAUAAGAGUGUUUCUUUAACGCUUCACGGCGUCGCUGAUUAUUAGUACUUCUCGGAGAUUCUUACGAGGAUGUUUCGGAGCUAAGAAUAAAAAAAAUAAAAAAAGUGGGACAAUGAUGUAACAGUCAUUACAGGUGAUGGCUCGAUCAUGUGACGAAGGCGCCGUGCCUCAGGUUGAACGAAUUCCUGCUCGUUAAAGAUUUGCAUCUAAUCUUUCAAAAGAUGUCACGCUGUCAAGCGCGCAACUUUCGGACAUUUUUUUUCUUUCGGUCUCAGUUGAACGGGUUCACGGCACUUGCUCUUCUGCUUUUCAGUUUAAAGCGAGAACCCGAUUGGUUCGGAAACAUGUGCCGGCCAAAAAGUCAUUGUCUGUUUAGUUUGGGUUUUUUUAAAUCAAGGAUUGGUUCUUUUUCUGUCCAACUUUUGCUUGUUGACGUGAGUUGAGUUACGUUCACAGCCCAAGCAUCGCUCAAAUUUUGACUCAAGCUAAAGCAAAAAAAUAAAAAAUUCCUCAACUGCGUAACGACUUCUAUCUCAUCUUUUUAUCAUCGUAUGAUGUCUUGAGUGCCUUGUGACAUGGCUCCACUUAUCUCAGCUGACUUGACGCACCUAGCCGAGCUCGGAAUGCGGAGACGCCGCGUUCCCGUUGACACAAACAUUACGCAAGCUAAGAAUGCGAGUGGUGACUUGAUGGCACCACAAAGACGACAGUUUAAAAAAAAAAAAAAAGUUUUGUCCGGUGCUUUCCCUAUGCUGACCUUUUCAGCAAUGCGCUCGCUCUUGAACGGGUGAUUGACAGGGAACGACUUCACACAAAAGAAGGAUUCAAAGUGAAGGGCGCUAGAUCUUAUCUUCUCAUCAUCUUUUCAGGAUGCUCACAUCAUUUUUGGCGGGCAGCUGUUUCCUGGCGCCACAGCGAUGAGCAAGUCGUCGCCCGCUUGAGGGAGAAGGGCGUAGGCGAGACUAAGAGGAGACACAACAGAUGAACUUGGAAGAAGAAUGACAUGUUCCCAAACAAUAGAGAUGGACACUUUUACUGUAUGGCUUUUUAGAAAGUCUACACACCCCUGUAGAAAUGGAUUAACCCCUAAUAAGUGUGUUCUAUUUAUAUUUCCAACAAUCUUCUAGCACUCCUAGCAUCUUUUUUAAAAGUCUCUUUCACAUGUUUUUUUUGCGAUGGGAAUGCCGGCAGACAUUGCGAGGGGAAGCACUUCAAAGUCAGUGCAGGCAAAAAGAGCUCUGGGAGAGAGAAAAAAAAAAAA